AGCAGCCGCGGUAAUUCCAGCUCCAAUAGCGUAUAUUAAAGUUGUUGCAGUUAAAAAGCUCGUAGUUGAAUUUCGGGGUCAGUAGGUUGGUCAUGCCUCUGGUAUGUACUGGUCUCACUGAUUCCUCCUUCCUGAUGAGCCAUAAUGCCAUUAAUUUGGUGUUGCGGGGAAUCUGGACUGUUACUUUGAAAAAAUUAGAGUGUUUAAAGCAGGCUAACGCUUGAAUACAUUAGCAUGGAAUAAUGAAAUAGGACGUUCGAUCUUAUUUUGUUGGUUUCUAAGAUUGACGUAAUGAUUAAUAGGGAUAGUUGGGGGCAUUAGUAUUCAAUUGUCAGAGGUGAAAUUCUUGGAUUUAUUGAAGACUAACUACUGCGAAAGCAUUUGCCAAGGAUGUUUUCAUUAAUCAAGAACGAAAGUUAGGGGAUCGAAGACGAUCAGAUACCGUCGUAGUCUUAACCAUAAACUAUGCCGACUAGGAAUCGGAUGAUGUUAAUUUUAUAAUGACUCA
rnacentral:rRNA from 1 species